ensembl:lncRNA
GGAGGACCCUGCCUGAAGAGGAGUUUCACAGCAGAGCAACAGGCAGAUGGUGAUGCAGUCAGAGAAGCCAUAUCGUUACUUCUACAUUCCAGUGAUGAUUCAGUGAUCCGCAGCAAGAUGAGGGAGACGUUUCAGCAUCGUCAUCAGCUUGUCCAUAAUCCAGAGAUGACCACUGAAGUCCUAAAAAUGUAUCCAAGAUUUUUGGAUGUGAAGGGAUUGAUACAUCAAGAUUUCACACUCCUGUUUGGAGCGGAAACCUCCUCCAAGUUAUUAGAGAAGUGGGACUCCACCUUCAAAUGCAAAAUCAUUGAAGAAGCAAGAUGCUUGACUCAGACUCACACUGUACGCCACCUUCUGAUGUCUGCAGAGAACCAAGACGCUGAACCAAGCGCUGAAUGGGACACGGAUAUAGCUACUCUACUGCUCUUAAUACACCUCCUCCCACCACAACCUGUCGGCAAGAAGUCUGUGAAGAUCAGUGCAGAUGCUGCAUCUGAAAGGCUCAUUGUUUAUCACUGAGAACACUUUGAAAAUUUUUAAAAAUAUAACAAAAUCCCUGGCUAAGAAACACCAGUUGGCAAUAGGCUAUCACUGGGAGAACCUUGCAUUAAAUAGGAGAGAAUUAGGUCCUUUAAAAGUAUUCAACACUGAUUAUGAUUUCACACAAUAUUUGGCCACCAUAAAUAAGACAAGCAGCACAGUAUAUAGCACUACAUGGGUCAAACUGGAUGGGUUAGAGUACAAGGAGGGAAAUGUUAUUUGCACUGAUAUACACGAUGAGCAACCAGUUUUUUGUAAAAUUUUUAAAAUUUGUCUGAUUGAAGAUGAUGUGUGUUUUCUUGUUAAUGAAUUUAUAACUAUGUGUUUUUAUGAGCAUUUCCAUGCAUAUGAAGUUAAUUUGGGUGAAGAAAGUUACUUUAUCAUUACAUUGAAUGACCUACAUAUGCACAAGGCUUUCGAUGUUCAAACAGCCUAUGGUCUGAAUGGGAAAUAUAUUGUCCCUGUGCAUUCAAUUUUUAAAAAUGGGUCAAACUGGAUGGGUUAGAGUACAAGGAGGGAAAUGUUAUUUGCACUGAUAUACACGAUGAGCAACCAGUUUUUUGUAAAAUUUUUAAAAUUUGUCUGAUUGAAGAUGAUGUGCGUUUUCUUGUGAAUGAAUUUAUAACUGUGUUUUUAUGAGCAUUUCCAUGCAUAUGAAGUUAAUUUGGGUGAAGAAAGUUACUUUAUCAUUACAUUGAAUGACCUACAUAUGCACAAGGCUUUCGAUGUUCAAACAGCCUAUGGUCUGAAUGGUAAAUAUAUUGUCCCUGUGCAUUCAAUUUUUUAAAAAUGCGGUCAAUAAAAGAAAUGAAACUAGAACUGCAAGCAGUUAUGCAGGGGUCCAAGAAGUGUGCAUUUCGCCGGCACAACGCGACAACAAAUGUGCGUUUCGCCGGCACAACGCGAAGCAUGUGUUCAAAACGCUAC